AUAACGCUGGCGGCGUGCCUAACACAUGCAAGUCGAACGCGGUUCGUGAGGAAACUCGUGGACCGAGUGGCGGACGGGUGAGUAACACGUGGGUUAUCUACCUUGAGGUGAGGAAUACCGGCGAGAAAUCGCCGACAAUACCGCAUCGGUUUGGCAACAAACAAAGUUCCGGGAUCUCCCGGGACGCCACAAGAUGAGCCUGCGCCCGAUUAUGCUUCGUUGGUGGGGUAAAAGCCUACCAAGGCGACAAUCGGUAGCUGGUCUGAGAGGACGAUCAGCCACACUGGGAUUGAGAACGGCCCAGACUCCUACGGGGGGCAGCAGUGAGGAAUUUUCGUCAAUGGGGGCAACCCUGAACGAGCAACGCCGCGUGCAGGAAGAAGGUUUUCGGAUCGUAAACUGCUUUUCCUGGGGAAGAAGAAGGACGGUACCCAGGGAAGAAGCCCCGGCUAACUACGUGCCAGCAGCCGCGGUAAUACGGGGGGGGCGAGCGUUGUUCGGAAUCACUGGGCGUAAAGGGCGCGUAGGCGGCCCGCACAAGUCUGCGGUGAAAACCUCCGGCUUAACCGGGGGCCGGCCGUGGAAACUGUCGGGCUGGAGGCUGGGAGAGGGCAGCGGGAUUCCCGGUGUAGCGGUGAAAUGCGUAGAGAUCGGGAGGAACACCGGCGGCGAAGGCGGCUGCCUGGACCAGUCCUGACGCUGAGGCGCGAAAGCUAGGGGAGCAAACAGGAUUAGAUACCCUGGUAGUCCUAGCCCUAAACGAUGGAUACUGGCUGUGGGGGGUAGCCAACCCCCCCGUGGCGAAGCUAACGCAUUAAGUAUCCCGCCUGGGGAGUACGGUCGCAAGUCUGAAACUCAAAGGAAUUGACGGGGGCCCGCACAAGCGGUGGAGCAUGUGGUUCAAUUCGACGCAACCCGAAGAACCUUACCUGGGCUUGAAGUGGGGCGGAAAGGGGCUGAGAGGCCUCUGUCCCUUCGGGGACUGCCCCAGAGGUGCUGCAUGGCUGUCGUCAGCUCGUGUCGUGAGAUGUUGGGUUAAGUCCCGCAACGAGCGCAACCCUUGUCCUUAGUUGCUAACGGGAGAGCCGAGCACCCUAAGGAAACUGUCGGCGAUAAGCCGGAGGAAGGCGGGGAUGACGUCAAGUCCUCAUGGCCUUUAUGUCCAGGGCUACACACGUGCUACAAUGGGCGCCACAAAGGGCCGCAAACCUGCAAAGGGGAGCCAAUCCCAGAAAAGCGCUCUCAGUUCGGAUUGGAGUCUGCAACCCGACUCCAUGAAGCUGGAAUCGCUAGUAAUCGCGGAUCAGCAUGCCGCGUGAUAUUAUCCCGGGGUGCACUCCCGC
rnacentral:rRNA from 1 species